rnacentral:ncRNA from 1 species
UGGGGAGAGACUUAGAAUCCCCACGGGUUGAUGUGUGAAUAGCUGUGUCUUUGGCCGGGCGCGGUGGUUCGAGAAUC